rnacentral:rRNA from 1 species
CCUACGGGAGGCAGCAGUGGGGAAUAUUGGACAAUGGGCGAAAGCCUGAUCCAGCAAUGCCGCGUGAGUGAUGAAGGCCUUAGGGUUGUAAAGCUCUUUUACCCGGGAUGAUAAUGACAGUACCGGGAGAAUAAGCUCCGGCUAACUUCGUGCCAGCAGCCGCGGUAAUCCAGCAGCCGCGGUAAU